GGGUUUUUCAGCUUGUUUUGAAGGUUUUGAAGGUGGAAAAUCGAAAGCGUGAUUUGAAGGUUAUUUUCAGUUUGUUUCGGUAAAUGAUUAUUUUUGUUCGAUGGGUUAUUUUUCUUUUAAUUUUUUUGGGCAUUUAGAUUUUCUUUUGUUAUUGGUUGUUUUUUUUUUUUAGUUUUUGGUUGAACAUUUUCGCCUUUACCUUGUUUUUGAGUGAUGUCAGUGCAUAAUUUGUCACAUUUAGCAUGCUGAUUUUGAGUUUGUGAAUUUCCUUUACUACAA
rnacentral:lncRNA from 1 species